GGUUAAGCGACUAAGCGUACACGGUGGAUGCCCUGGCAGUCAGAGGCGAUGAAGGACGUGCUAAUCUGCGAUAAGCGUCGGUAAGGUGAUAUGAACCGUUAUAACCGGCGAUUUCCGAAUGGGGAAACCCAGUGUGAUUCGUCACACUAUCAUUAACUGAAUCCAUAGGUUAAUGAGGCGAACCGGGGGAACUGAAACAUCUAAGUACCCCGAGGAAAAGAAAUCAACCGAGAUUCCCCCAGUAGCGGCGAGCGAACGGGGAGCAGCCCAGAGCCUGAAUCAGUGUGUGUGUUAGUGGAAGCGUCUGGAAAGGCGCGCGAUACAGGGUGACAGCCCCGUACACAAAAAUGCACAUGCUGUGAGCUCGAUGAGUAGGGCGGGACACGUGGUAUCCUGUCUGAAUAUGGGGGGACCAUCCUCCAAGGCUAAAUACUCCUGACUGACCGAUAGUGAACCAGUACCGUGAGGGAAAGGCGAAAAGAACCCCGGCGAGGGGAGUGAAAAAGAACCUGAAACCGUGUACGUACAAGCAGUGGGAGCCUCUUUAUGGGGUGACUGCGUACCUUUUGUAUAAUGGGUCAGCGACUUAUAUUCUGUAGCAAGGUUAACCGAAUAGGGGAGCCGAAGGGAAACCGAGUCUUAACUGGGCGUUAAGUUGCAGGGUAUAGACCCGAAACCCGGUGAUCUAGCCAUGGGCAGGUUGAAGGUUGGGUAACACUAACUGGAGGACCGAACCGACUAAUGUUGAAAAAUUAGCGGAUGACUUGUGGCUGGGGGUGAAAGGCCAAUCAAACCGGGAGAUAGCUGGUUCUCCCCGAAAGCUAUUUAGGUAGCGCCUCGUGAAUUCAUCUCCGGGGGUAGAGCACUGUUUCGGCAAGGGGGUCAUCCCGACUUACCAACCCGAUGCAAACUGCGAAUACCGGAGAAUGUUAUCACGGGAGACACACGGCGGGUGCUAACGUCCGUCGUGAAGAGGGAAACAACCCAGACCGCCAGCUAAGGUCCCAAAGUCAUGGUUAAGUGGGAAACGAUGUGGGAAGGCCCAGACAGCCAGGAUGUUGGCUUAGAAGCAGCCAUCAUUUAAAGAAAGCGUAAUAGCUCACUGGUCGAGUCGGCCUGCGCGGAAGAUGUAACGGGGCUAAACCAUGCACCGAAGCUGCGGCAGCGACACUAUGUGUUGUUGGGUAGGGGAGCGUUCUGUAAGCCUGCGAAGGUGUACUGUGAGGUAUGCUGGAGGUAUCAGAAGUGCGAAUGCUGACAUAAGUAACGAUAAAGCGGGUGAAAAGCCCGCUCGCCGGAAGACCAAGGGUUCCUGUCCAACGUUAAUCGGGGCAGGGUGAGUCGACCCCUAAGGCGAGGCCGAAAGGCGUAGUCGAUGGGAAACAGGUUAAUAUUCCUGUACUUGGUGUUACUGCGAAGGGGGGACGGAGAAGGCUAUGUUGGCCGGGCGACGGUUGUCCCGGUUUAAGCGUGUAGGCUGGUUUUCCAGGCAAAUCCGGAAAAUCAAGGCUGAGGCGUGAUGACGAGGCACUACGGUGCUGAAGCAACAAAUGCCCUGCUUCCAGGAAAAGCCUCUAAGCAUCAGGUAACAUCAAAUCGUACCCCAAACCGACACAGGUGGUCAGGUAGAGAAUACCAAGGCGCUUGAGAGAACUCGGGUGAAGGAACUAGGCAAAAUGGUGCCGUAACUUCGGGAGAAGGCACGCUGAUAUGUAGGUGAAGUCCCUCGCGGAUGGAGCUGAAAUCAGUCGAAGAUACCAGCUGGCUGCAACUGUUUAUUAAAAACACAGCACUGUGCAAACACGAAAGUGGACGUAUACGGUGUGACGCCUGCCCGGUGCCGGAAGGUUAAUUGAUGGGGUUAGCGGUAACGCGAAGCUCUUGAUCGAAGCCCCGGUAAACGGCGGCCGUAACUAUAACGGUCCUAAGGUAGCGAAAUUCCUUGUCGGGUAAGUUCCGACCUGCACGAAUGGCGUAAUGAUGGCCAGGCUGUCUCCACCCGAGACUCAGUGAAAUUGAACUCGCUGUGAAGAUGCAGUGUACCCGCGGCAAGACGGAAAGACCCCGUGAACCUUUACUAUAGCUUGACACUGAACAUUGAGCCUUGAUGUGUAGGAUAGGUGGGAGGCUUUGAAGUGUGGACGCCAGUCUGCAUGGAGCCGACCUUGAAAUACCACCCUUUAAUGUUUGAUGUUCUAACGUUGGCCCCUGAUCGGGGUUGCGGACAGUGUCUGGUGGGUAGUUUGACUGGGGCGGUCUCCUCCUAAAGAGUAACGGAGGAGCACGAAGGUUGGCUAAUCCUGGUCGGACAUCAGGAGGUUAGUGCAAUGGCAUAAGCCAGCUUGACUGCGAGCGUGACGGCGCGAGCAGGUGCGAAAGCAGGUCAUAGUGAUCCGGUGGUUCUGAAUGGAAGGGCCAUCGCUCAACGGAUAAAAGGUACUCCGGGGAUAACAGGCUGAUACCGCCCAAGAGUUCAUAUCGACGGCGGUGUUUGGCACCUCGAUGUCGGCUCAUCACAUCCUGGGGCUGAAGUAGGUCCCAAGGGUAUGGCUGUUCGCCAUUUAAAGUGGUACGCGAGCUGGGUUUAGAACGUCGUGAGACAGUUCGGUCCCUAUCUGCCGUGGGCGCUGGAGAACUGAGGGGGGCUGCUCCUAGUACGAGAGGACCGGAGUGGACGCAUCACUGGUGUUCGGGUUGUCAUGCCAAUGGCACUGCCCGGUAGCUAAAUGCGGAAGAGAUAAGUGCUGAAAGCAUCUAAGCACGAAACUUGCCCCGAGAUGAGUUCUCCCUGACUCCUUGAGAGUCCUGAAGGAACGUUGAAGACGACGACGUUGAUAGGCCGGGUGUGUAAGCGCAGCGAUGCGUUGAGCUAACCGGUACUAAUGAACCGUGAGGCUUAACCUU
rnacentral:rRNA from 1 species